UAAGACACAUUCAUAUUACCAUACAGACCAUAUCUAGCCUUGGGCUGGUUAUCAACUGGAAGACUUUUUCACUGGUUCCCACUCAGUCUAUUCAGUUUGUUGGGGCCAGGCUGGAUGCUACAGUGGGGAAAUCCUUUUUACCAUUAGAUGGCCCGUGCUAUCCAAUCCAUGGUUGUUGUAACUUGCAGGAACAAGCGUUUCCAACCUGCCAUAAUUAUCCAAAGACUUCUUGGACUUAUGGCCUCUACGACCAGUAUAGUGCCCUUUGCUUGCCUCCACAUGAGGCCACUUCAGAACUGGCUCUUAAGACAUUUUGACCCUCUUAGAGAUCCACAAAGGAAGGGUCUUUCUAUUCCCAAGGUCAUACUCAAAUCCCUUGAAUGGUGGUCCCUGGAAGACAACCUCCUGCAGAGCAUGUCUUUUGGAACCCCGCUACCAGACAUUUCCAUCACUACAGACGCCUCCUUAUUGGGUUGGCGGGCACAGUGUAGGGAAUCAUCCAUGCAGGGUACCUGGUCAUGGGCUGAACGUACUAUGCAUACUAAUGUAUUAGAAUUGAGGGCAAUUAGAAACUCCCUUGCUUCUUUUACAGGUCUUCUUCGCAACAAGCAGGUACAGGUGAACACAGACAACACAACAGCCCUCUACUAUGUCAACAAACAGGGGGGAACGGCCUCACUGACUCUCUGCAUGGAAGCAACAGAACUGUGGCGUUGGGCCAUCCAGAACAACACUUUUCCCCAGGCCAUACACAUAGCAGGUACUGCAAACAGCAGGGCAGACUUCCUGAGUAGAGUUUUCAAACCGCGCCACGAAUGGUCCAUCAACCCUACCUACCUACACCCCAUAUUCAAGGAGUGGGGGGAGACCAAGGGUGGACCAAUUCACGACCUUAGAGAACACCAAGGCUCACACUUUCUGUUCCCUGGGAGGCACGGGCCCAAAUUCUCUGGGGGACACGUUCCAGAUCCCGUGGGAGGGAAAUCUUUUCUAUGCCUUCCCACCCAUUGCCUUGAUUCCCAAGGUUCUUGGCAGAAUUCGGCAUUUCAAAACACAUUGCAUCUUCGUCACCCCUUUCUGGCCAUGCAGGGACUGGUUCCCAAUGCUGUGGAACUGUCACAGGGUUUCUAUACCCAUCUUCCAUCUUCCUCAUUCACAGUGGCCAUGUGCUACACCACAGUGUGGCAGUGCUCAAACUUACAGCAUGGCUCCUGUUUCCACCACAACACCUUUCUCUAAGGAGGUGAUCACAAUUAUGCUAAAUGCCCGUAAGGCAUCCACUAGAUCUUCCUAUGGCCAUAAGUGAACGCGAUUAUCUAAGUGGGUGGCCAAAACAGCCUUUUCUCCAUUUUCCUGUCCAUCGGCAAUCAUAUUUGAAUACCUCCUGUCCUUGCUGAAGGAGCGAAUGGCUGCCUCUUCAAUUAAAGUACACCUUGUAGCCAUUUCUACAUUUCAUGAAACCAUUGACGGCAAAACGGUGUUUUCACACCAGGCCUCUAAACAGUUCUUGAAGUGGGUAAAUAAUACCUUUCCCCCUAGACGGCCUCCUUUACCCCAAUGGAGUCUAUCCUUGGUCCUAGGGCAGCUUAUGUUAGCACCCUUUGAACCUCUAGCCUCUUGUGAUAUUAAUGUCCUGUAUUGGAAAGUUGCACUUCUAGUGGCUGUCACUUCUUUAAAAAGGGUGGGGGAACUCGGAGCCCUUUGCAUGGACCCCUUGUUUCUCCAGUAUUUGAUGGAAAAGUCAUACUUUACCCUAAUCUGGAGUUCCUUCAAAAAAUUGUCUCCAAGUUUCACCUACAACAGAAAGUCAUUCUUCCUGUGUUUUUCCCCACUCUAUCUUCUGACUUGGAAUGCGCCCUUCUCAAGCUAGAUGUGAAGAGAGUGCUCCUGUACUACAUUCAUAGGACUAAGCCUUUUCGUAGGUCCAACAGUUUAUUCAUUUGUUAUGCAGGUCCUUGCAAGGGCCUCCCAGUAGCUAACCAAUCCCUCUCCAGAUGGAUUAUAGCUGCAAUCAGACAUUGUUACGCAGUCACCAAGGUUACCUGUCCCGUGACCAUUAGAGCUCACUCUACCAGAGUACAAUUGGCCUCAGCUGCAUUUCUGUGAGGAACCCCUCUACAGGACAUCUGCCAAGCAGCAACUUGGUCAUCUGCGAACACCUUCAUCCACCACUACUCUGUGGACGUUAACACCAAGAGAGACGCUGCAGUGGGAACUGCCGUUCUGCACUCUCCAUGUUGGCUUGAACAUCUCACACCCUCCUCCAUUGGACAUCAAUGGACAGGCAUGCAUCACUUGUCCCUGGCACAAAUAUAAAAUAACUUUGGCAACAGGUGAAGGAUUGUAUCAGGCAAUAAACCCCAGAGAGCCAUCUG